AACGUCGUUGGAGGAGGAGAACCACGAGCAGCAGCGGGAGUCUUCGCCGUCAGCAAACGAAUACGGGGCGAUGCAGGCAGUGUCCCACAGCGGGGCGACCCGGCUCUCCCCUGUUUGGCCCGGCGACAUGGAGCGGGGCCGUGGCAGCGGCAGCGCGGGCUCCGUGUCCUGCCCCGACCUUGAGCGGGCCGCACGGCAUCAGCCCACCGACCAGAACCAGAGACCCAGGUCCGAGUGGGAGGUAACCAAGCGAAGGUCUAGCGGCAUUAGCCCACCCA